rnacentral:rRNA from 1 species
GACGAACGCUGGCGGCGUGCUUAACACAUGCAAGUCGAACGGAAAGGCCCUGCUUUUGUGGGGUGCUCGAGUGGCGAACGGGUGAGUAUCACGUGAGUAGCCUGCCCUUGACUUUGGGAUAACUUCAGGAAACUGGGGCUAAUACCGGAUAUGAGCUCCUGCUGCAUGGUGGGGGUUGGAAAGUUUCGGCGGUUGGGGAUGGACUCGCGGCUUAGCAGCUUGUUGGUGGGGUAGUGGCUUACCAAGGCUUGGACGGGUAGCCGGCCUGAGAGGGUGACCGGCCACAAUGGGACUGGGAUGGGGGCCAGAGUCAUACGGGAGGCAGCAGUGGGGAAUAGUGCACGAUGGGCGGAAGCCGGAUGGAGCAACGUCGCGUGCGGGAAGACGGUUUUCGGGGUGUAAACCGGUUUAGCCUGCGACGAAGCGUGAGUGACGGUAAUGGGUAAAGAAGCAACGGCUAACUACGUG